rnacentral:rRNA from 1 species
CCUACGGGAGUCUGCAGUGGGGGAUAUUGCACAAUGGGGGGAACCCUGAUGCAGCGACGCCGCGUGGGUGAAGGAGUAUUUCGGUAUGUAAAGCCCUAUCGGCAGGGAAGAAAUUGGACGGUACCUGACUAAGAAGCCCCGGCUAACUACGUGCCAGCAGCCGCGGUAAUACGUAGGGGGCAAGCUUUAUCCGGAUUCACUGGGUGUAAAGGGAGCGUAGACGGCCAUGCAAGCCAGGGGUGAAAGCCCGGGGCCCAACCCCGGGACUGCCCUUGGAACUGCAUGGCUGGAGUGCGGGAGGGGCAGGCGGAAUUCCUGGUGUAGCGGUGAAAUGCGUAGAUAUCAGGAGGAACACCGGCGGCGAAGGCGGCCUGCUGGACCGCGACUGACGUUGAGGCUCGAAAGCGUGGGGAGCGAACAGGAUUAGAUACCCUAGUAGUC